rnacentral:tRNA from 1 species
GGAAGGUUGGCGUAAUCGGUAACGCAGCGCCCUGCUAAGGCGUCAGUCGAGCAAUCGGCUUGCAGGUUCAAGUCCUGUGCCUUCCGCCA